rnacentral:rRNA from 1 species
AGUGAACGCUGGCGGUAGGCCUAACACAUGCAAGUCGAACGGCAGCACAGUAAGAGCUUGCUCUUACGGGUGGCGAGUGGCGGACGGGUGAGGAAUACAUCGGAAUCUACUUUUUCGUGGGGGAUAACGUAGGGAAACUUACGCUAAUACCGCAUACGACCUACGGUUUAAAUCAGGGGAUCUUCUGACCUUGCGCGAUUGAUUGAGCCGAUGUCGGAUUAGCUAGUUGGCGGGGUAAAGGCCCACCAAGGCGACGAUCCGUAGCUGGUCUGAGAGGAUGAUAAGCAAGACUGGAACUGAGACACGGUCAAGACUACGACGGGAGGCAGCAGUGGGGAAUAUUGGACAAUGGGCGAAAGCAUGAUCCAGCCAAACCGCGUGGGUGAAGAAGGACUUCGGGUUGUAAAGCCCUUUUGUUGGGAAAGAAAAGAAGCAGGUUAAUACCCCGCUGUUAUGACGGUACCCAAAGAAUAAGCACCGGCUAACUUCGUG